CUACGGAUUUAAUUGGAUUAAGCCUUGGUAUGGAAGCCUACUAAGUGAUAACUUUCAAAUUCAGAGAAAUCCUGGAAUGAAAAAUGGACAAUCCUGAGCCAAAUCCUAUUAUUUUAUUAUUUUACGAAAAUAAACAUGAACAAAGGUUCAGCAAGCGAGAAUAAUAAAAAAAGGAAAGGAUAGGUGCAGAGACUCAAUGGAAGCUAUUCUAACAAAUGGGGUUGACUGUUGGUAAAGGAAUUCAUUAUUCACUCAAGAUUAAGGUACG
rnacentral:ncRNA from 1 species